UUAGGAUUAGAUACCCUAUUAUUAAAACAUAAUCUAAAAUAUUAAGAUACUAAAUAUUAAUUUAUUAAAUUUAAAAAAACUGACGGUAUUUUUUUAUUAGAUGAACUUGAAAUUUAAUUUGAUAAUCCACAAUUUAACCUACUAAUUUAAAAUUUUUAUAUAUUACUGUUUAAAUUUAAUUUUAUAAUUUAAUAUUUUAUAUUAUUUUUAUAAUUAAAUUCAAGUCUAAAUAUAAAUAUAAAUUAGAAAAAUUUGAGUUACUUUAAAAUUUAAUUAAUAUUUUUAAUUAAUUAUUAAUAAUAAUAUUAUAUUUAAUAUUUAAAAAUUUUUAAAUUUAGAAUUUAAUAAUAAAAAUUUUUAUAUAAAAAAUUUAAAAUUUAAAAUAAAAUAUGUACAUAUCGCCCGUCAUUUUUAUAUAAUUUAAUUUAUUUUAUAUUAAUAAAAUAUUUAAUAAAAAUAAUUUUAUAUAAAACAAGUCGUAACAAAGUAAUCUUACUGGAAAGUAAAAUUAGAA
rnacentral:rRNA from 1 species